ACUAGGAACUGUCGAAGAGCAAUUAGGGAGCCGACAAAGUGGUUGUGGAAUGUUCUAUAUCUGCAUAUCACAGCCAGCUUUGUUGACUUCAUUGUUGCCACUUAGCUGCAAAUUCCUG
rnacentral:precursor_RNA from 12 species